rnacentral:rRNA from 1 species
UACGUAGGGGGCUAGCGUUGUCCGGAUUUAUUGGGCGUAAAGAGCGUGUAGGCGGCCAGAUAGGUCUGCUGUGAAAACUCGAGGCUCAACCUCGAGCUGUCGGCGGAAACCAUUUGGCUAGAGUCCGGAAGAGGAGAGUGGAAUUCCGUGGUGUAGCGGUGAAAUGCGCAGAUAUCAGGAAGAACACCUAUGGCGAAGGCAGCUCUCUGGGACGGUACUGACGCUGAGACGCGAAAGCGUGGGGAGCGAACAGG